CCUACGGGGGGCUGCAGUGAGGAAUAUUGGUCAAUGGCCGGAAGGCUGAACCAGCCAAGCCGCGUGAAGGACGCAUGUGCCAAGCAUUGUAAACUUCUUUUAUCAAGGGACAAAAUCAGGCUCGAGAGCCUGACCGAGGGUACUUGAAGAAAAAGCAUCGGCUAACUCCGUGCCAGCAGCCGCGGUAAUACGGAGGAUCCGAGCGUUAUCCGGCUUUAUUGGGUUUAAAGGGUGCGUAAGUGGACUGUUAAGUCCGCGGUAAAAGCUGGGGGCUAAACCUCGGAGAGCCGUUGAAACUGGCUGUCUUGAGAAGAGUUGAGGUAUGCGGAAUGCGCGGUGUAGCGGUGAAAUGCUUAGAUAUUGCGAAGAACUCCGAUUGCGAAGGCAGCAUACUGGCGGCCAUCUGACGCUGAUGCACGAAAGUGUGGGUAUCGAACAGGAUUAGAUACCCGAGUAGUC
rnacentral:rRNA from 1 species